rnacentral:rRNA from 1 species
UCCUAAAGGAGGCAGCAGUAGGGAAUCUUCCGCAAUGGACGAAAGUCUGACGGAGCAACGCCGCGUGAACGAUGAAGGCCUUCGGGUCGUAAAGUUCUGUUGUUAGGGAAGAACAAGUACCAGAGUAACUGCUGGUACCUUGACGGUACCUAACCAGAAAGCCACGGCUAACUACGUGCCAGCAGCCGCGGUAAUACGUAGGUGGCAAGCGUUGUCCGGAAUUAUUGGGCGUAAAGCGCGCGCAGGUGGUUUCUUAAGUCUGAUGUGAAAGCCCACGGCUCAACCGUGGAGGGUCAUUGGAAACUGGGGAACUUGAGUGCAGAAGAGGAAAGUGGAAUUCCAAGUGUAGCGGUGAAAUGCGUANAAAUUUGGAGGAACACCCGUGGCCGAAGGCGACUUUCUGGUCUGUAACUGACACUGAAGCGCCGAAGCGUGGGGAGCGAACCGGAUUAAAUACCC